ACACCGGCAGCUCAAGUGGUGGCCAUUUUUAUUGGGCCUAAAGCGUUCGUAGCCGGCCCUUGAUAAGUCUCUGGUGAAAUCCCAUAGCUUAACUGUGGGAAUUGCUGGAGAUACUAUUAGGCUUGAGGCCGGGAGAGGUUAGGGGUACUCCCAGGGUAGGGGUGAAAUCCUAUAAUCCUGGGGGACCACCUGUGGCGAAGGCGCCUAACUGGAACGGACCUGACGGUGAGUAACGAAAGCCAGGGGCGC
rnacentral:rRNA from 1 species